rnacentral:misc_RNA from 1 species
AACCAUAGAAACCUGCGGAGUACCUGCGGAGGGAUCAUUACAGAGUUGCAAAACUCCCCAAACCAUUGUGAACCUUACCUUCAAACGUUGCUUCGGCGGGCGGGCCACAGCGCCCCCCGGGCCCCCCCAGCGGGGGCGCCCGCCGGAGGAUACCCAAACUCUUGAUACUUUAUGGCCUCUCUGAGUCUUCUGUACUGAAUAAGUCAAAACUUUCAACAACGGAUCUCAGAUCGGAAGAGC